GCUUUCGUGGCUUAGGGGUUAUAGCGCCGUGUUAACAUGGCACGCUUUAGAAGCGUAUCACACCGUCCCGCGGAGGUCGCCGGUUCGAUUCCGGCCGAAAGCU